GAUGAACGCUGACAGAAUGCUUAACACAUGCAAGUCAACUUGAACUUCGGUUUGGGUGGCGGACGGGUGAGUAACGCGUAAAGAACUUGCCUCACAGAUAGGGACAACAUUUGGAAACGAAUGCUAAUACCUGAUAUUAUGAUUUUAGGGCAUCCUAGAAUUAUGAAAGCUAUAUGCGCUGUGAGAGAGCUCUGCGUCCCAUUAGCUAGUUGGAGAGGUAACGGCUCACCAAGGCGAUGAUGGGUAGCCGGCCUGAGAGGGUGAUCGGCCACAAGGGGACUGAGACACGGCCCUUACUCCUACGGGAGGCAGCAGUGGGGAAUAUUGGACAAUGGACCAAGAGUCUGAUCCAGCAAUUCUGUGUGCACGAUGAAGUUUUUCGGAAUGUAAAGUGCUUUCAGUUGGGAAGAAAAAAAUGACGGUACCAACAGAAGAAGUGACGGCUAAAUACGUGCCAGCAGCCGCGGUAAUACGUAUGUCACAAGCGUUAUCCGGAUUUAUUGGGCGUAAAGCGCGUCUAGGUGGUUAUAUAAGUCUGAUGUGAAAAUGCAGGGCUCAACUCUGUAUUGCGUUGGAAACUGUGUAACUAGAGUACUGGAGAGGUAAGCGGAACUACAAGUGUAGAGGUGAAAUUCGUAGAUAUUUGUAGGAAUGCCGAUGGGGAAGCCAGCUUACUGGACAGAUACUGACGCUGAAGCGCGAAAGCGUGGGUAGCAAACAGG
rnacentral:rRNA from 1 species